rnacentral:rRNA from 1 species
UAGCUAGUUGGUGAGGUAAAGGCUUACCAAGGCGACGAUCUGUAGCGGGUCUGAGAGGAUGAUCCGCCACACUGGAACUGAGACACGGUCCAGACUCCUACGGGAGGCAGCAGUGGGGAAUUUUGGACAAUGGCGGCAACCCUGAUCCAGCCAUGCCGCGUGAGUGAAGAAGGCCUUCGGGUUGUAAAGCUCUUUCGGCCGGGAAGAAAUCGCAUGGGCCAAUACCCUGUGUGGAUGACGGUACCGGAAUAAGAAGCACCGGCUAACUACGUGCCAGCAGCCGCGGUAAUACGUAGGGUGCGAGCGUUAAUCGGAAUUACUGGGCGUAAAGCGUGCGCAGGCGGUUUUGUAAGACAGGCGUGAAAUCCCCGGGCUUAACCUGGGAACUGCGUUUGUGACUGCAAGGCUAGAGUACGGCAGAGGGGGGUGGAAUUCCACGUGUAGCAGUGAAAUGCGUAGAGAUGUGGAGGAGCACCAAUGGCGAAGGCAGCCCCCUGGGUCGAUACUGACGCUCAUGCACGAAAGCGUGGGUAGCAAACAGGAUUAGAUACCCUGGUAGUCCACGCCCUAAACUAUGUCAACUAGGUGUUGGGUGGGUAAAACCAUUUAGUACCGUAGCUAACGCGUGAAGUUGACCGCCUGGGGAGUACGGCCGCAAGGUUAAAACUCAAAGGAAUUGACGGGGACCCGCACAAGCGGUGGAUGAUGUGGAUUAAUUCGAUGCAACGCGAAAAACCUUACCUACCCUUGACAUGCCAGGAACUUGCCAGAGAUGGCUUGGUGCCCGAAAGGGAGCCUGGACACAGGUGCUGCAUGGCUGUCGUCAGCUCGUGUCGUGAGAUGUUGGGUUAAGUCCCGCAACGAGCGCAACCCUUGUCGUUAAUUGCCAUCAUUUAGUUGGGCACUUUAACGAGACUGCCGGUGACAAACCGGAGGAAGGUGGGGAUGACGUCAAGUCCUCAUGGCCCUUAUGGGUAGGGCUUCACACGUCAUACAAUGGUCGGUACAAAGGGUUGCCAAGCCGCGAGGCGGAGCCAAUCCCAGAAAGCCGAUCGUAGUCCGGAUUGCAGGCUGCAACUCGCCUGCACGAAGUCGGAAUCGCUAGUAAUCGUGGAUCAGCAUGUCACGGUGAAUACGUUCCCGGGUCUUGUACACACCGCCCGUCACACCAUGGGAGCGGGUUCCGCCAGAAGUAGGUAGCCUAACCGCAAGGGGGGCGCUUACCACGGCGGGGUCCGUGACUGGGGUGAAGUCGGAACAAGGUAGCCGUAGGGGAACCUGCGGCUG